rnacentral:rRNA from 1 species
GACGAACGCUGGCGGCGUGCUUAACACAUGCCAGUCGAACGAUGACGACCGAUCUUGCUCGGUCUGAUUAGUGGCGAACGGGUGAGUAACCCGUGAGCAACCUGCCCUUCACUCUGGGAUAACCUCGGGAAAUCGGGGCUAAUACCGGAUAUGAGCUCCUGUCGCAUGGCGGGUGUUGGAAAGUUUUUCGUUGAAGGAUGGGCUCGCGGCCUAUCAGUUUGUUGGUUGGGUAGUGGCUCGCCAAGGCGAUGACGGGUAGCCGGCCUGAGAGGGCGACCGGCGACAAGGGGACUGAGACACGGCGCAGACUCCUACGGGAGGCAGCAGUGGGGAGUAUUGCACAAUGGGCGAAAGCGUGAUGCAGCGACGCCGCGUUAGGGAUGACGGCCUUCGGGCUGUAAACCGCUUUCAGCAGGGAAGAAGCGAAAGUGACGGUACCUGCAGAAGAAGCGCCGGCUAACUACGUG